rnacentral:rRNA from 1 species
GACGAACGCUGGCGGCGUGCUUAACACAUGCAAGUCGAACGGUAAGGCCCUUCGGGGUACACGAGUGGCGAACGGGUGAGUAACACGUGGGUGAUCUGCCCUGCACUUCGGGAUAAGCCUGGGAAACUGGGUCUAAUACCGGAUAGGACUCCGGACUGCAUGGUCUGGGGUGGAAAGCUUUUGCGGUGUGGGAUGGGCCCGCGGCCUAUCAGCUUGGUGGUGGGGUGAUGGCCUACCAAGGCGACGACGGGUAGCCGGCCUGAGAGGGUGACCGGCCACACUGGGACGGAGAUACGGCCCAGAGUCCGACGGGAGGCAGCAGUGGGGAAUAUUGCAGAAUGGGCGCAAGCCUGAUGCAGCGACGCCGCGUGAGGUAUGACGGCCUUCGUGUUGUAAACCUCUUUCAGCAUCGACGAAGCGAAAGUGACGGUAGGUGCAGAAGAAGGACCGGCCAACUACGUGCCAGCAGCCGCGGUAA